UGGCCGGUAGCUCAACUGGUAGAGCGCCUGCCUUAUAUGCAGUAGGUUAUCGGUUCGAAUCCGGUCCGGCCAA
rnacentral:tRNA from 1 species